rnacentral:rRNA from 1 species
CAGCCGCCGCGGUAAUACGUAGGCGGCAAGCGUUGUCCGGAAUUAUUGGGCGUAAAGCGCGCGCAGGUGGUUUAAUAAGUCUGAUGUGAAUGCCCACGGCUCAACCGUGGAGGGUCAUUGGAAACUGUUAAACUUGAGUGCAGGAGAGAAAAGUGGAAUUCCUAGUGUAGCGGUGAAAUGCGUAGAUAUAUGGAGGAACACCGGUGGCGAAAGCGGCUCUCUGGCUUGUAACUGACGCUGAGGCUCGAAAGCGUGGGGAGCAAACAGGAUUAGAUACCCGCGUAGUCCCUGUCUCUUAUAC